rnacentral:rRNA from 1 species
UACGGAGGGUGCAAGCGUUAUCCGGAUUCACUGGGUUUAAAGGGUGCGUAGGUGGCUAUAUAAGUCAGUGGUGAAAGCCCCGCGGCUCAACCGUGGAAUUGCCAUUGAAACUGCAUAGCUUGAGUACAGUUGAAGUGGGCGGAAUACAUCAUGUAGCGGUGAAAUGCUUAGAUAUGAUGUAGAACACCGAUUGCGAAGGCAGCUCACUAAGCUGUAACUGACACUGAGGCACGAAAGCGUGGGUAGCAAACAGG